rnacentral:rRNA from 1 species
AGAACGAACGCUGGCGGCAUGCCUAAUACAUGCAAGUCGAACGAGAUCUUCGGAUCUAGUGGCGCACGGGUGCGUAACGCGUGGGAAUCUACCCUUGGGUUCGGAAUAACAGUUGGAAACGACUGCUAAUACCGGAUGAUGACGAAAGUCCAAAGAUUUAUCGCCCAGGGAUGAGCCCGCGUAGGAUUAGCUAGUUGGUGAGGUAAAGGCUCACCAAGGCUACGAUCCUUAGCUGGUCUGAGAGGAUGAUCAGCCACACUGGGACUGAGACACGGCCCAGACUCCUACGGGAGGCAGCAGUAGGGAAUAUUGGACAAGUGGGGGCAACCCUGAUCCAGCAAUGCCGCGUGAGUGAUGAAGGCCGUUAGGG